CAUAGAUCUAGAAUUAAUUGGGAUUGAUCGGUCCAAAAUCACGCAGUUGGUACAUAAUGCCGGUCAGCAUCACGUGAAAUUUAAACAGGAACAGUAUCAAAGAAGAGAUGACAGCCUCAAAGUGAGCCACUAGCAAUGAAGAUUGUUAGAUAGAAGUACUUGUAGUCAUUUUGUAGGAAUUCUUAGAACUCACGGUCUUCUCUCUAUCUAGUAUUUUUGAUGAUUUUCUUAAAAC